UACGAACUGUGCAAACGUUAUUCGGAUUCACUGGGCUUAAAGGGUGCGUAGGCGGCUUGCCAAGUAGGGUGUGAAAGCCCCCGGCUUAACCGGGGAAUUGCGCCCUAAACUGGCGAGCUGGAGUGAGAUAGGGGUGUGUGGAACUUCCGGUGGAGCGGUGAAAUGUGUUGAUAUCGGAAGGAACGCCGGUGGCGAAAGCGGCAUCCUGGACCGGCAUUGACGCUGAGGCGCGAAAGCUAGGGGAGCAAACGGG
rnacentral:rRNA from 1 species